rnacentral:rRNA from 1 species
UACACAAUGAAUAUAAAGUUAAAAAUAAUUUAGGAUUACCUAUUAUUGUUAAUUUAGUUCUAUUGGACCCUUUUGAGGAUAAGCUCGAAAGUUGUUGUUGAGAAUUCAUAUUAUUUAAAAUUGCUAUGUAGGCCUAAAGUUAGCCACCAUUAAAGUUUGUUAUAAAAUAACAAGGAUAUGUUAAGAAUAUUAUUAUAUGAGGGUACCACAGAAAACUAUAAGAAUAAUAAUCUAAACCAAGAGAUUUAAUAUACCUAUGCUAGGAUGAGUAUUAUAAACUAUAUAAGUUGAACAGAUUAAUGUUCUUUUAAAAAAAUAUUAUGAAUAAAUUAAAGAGAAGGAAUUCGGCAAAUAUCGUUCCGCCUGUUUAUCAAAAACAUGGCUCUUUGGAAAGAAAAUAUAAAGAGUCGAACCUGCCCAGUGAAAUUUUUUAACGGCCGCGGUACCCUGACCGUGCAAAGGUAGCAUAAUCAUUUGCCUUAUAAUUGAAGGCUGGCAUGAAGGGUCUGACGAGAGCGAUACUGUCUCCUCUUUAUUAUUUAAAAAUUAACCUAUAGGUGAAGAGGCCUAUAUUAAAUUGAAGGACAAGAAGACCCUGUCGAGCUUUAAAGAAAAGUAGGCGCUAGCUUAUUAAGAAAAAAAAUCAAUAAACUACAUUAUAAUUUUUAGUUGGGGCGACGAAGGAACAAAUAAAGCUUCUUUUAUUCUUAUAAAUUUAUAGAUUUAGAUCCAGCAAAGCUGACUAAAAAAAUUAGUUACCGCAGGGAUAACAGCAUAAUCUCCUUUGAGAGACCUAAUCGAAAAGGGGGGUUGUGACCUCGAUGUUGGACUAGAAUAUCCUGGAGAUGCAGACGUCU